GAUCCUGGCUCAGGAUGAACGCUGGCUACAGGCUUAACACAUGCAAGUCGAGGGGAAACGACGGGGAAGCUUGCUUCCCCGGGCGUCGACCGGCGCACGGGUGAGUAACGCGUAUCCAACCUGCCUCUGACUGAGGGAUAACCCGUCGAAAGUCGGCCUAAUACCUCAUGGCAUCGUCUGCGGGCAUCCAACGACGAUUAAAGAUUUCAUCGGUCAGGGAUGGGGAUGCGUCUGAUUAGCUGGUUGG
rnacentral:rRNA from 1 species